ensembl:lncRNA ADPGK-AS1 ADPGK antisense RNA 1
AAAAGUACAAAGAAAGGAGGUAGUGUCAUUUGGAAGAACCUUAAAUAUGCAGUGUCACUGAAGUCAGGGGAAGAAAAGAAUUUCACGGAGAAGGGCGUGUUCAAUGCGUGGAAGGCUGCAGAGUAGAUAAUGAAGAUUCAAAAAGGCAAAUCUGAGAGGAGUUGCAGUACAGUCGUGUGGUUUCUAGACUACACGGCGUUUCGAAAGUGGGUAAAGGCAGACAUCACGCGUCUUCAAGAAGUUCAGAAGAAAGAGGAAGAGUGUUGUCAUAGUGGGUAAGGUCAAGUAUCUUUGAUUGCAAAACAACAGUCGCCAGAAGAGAAGGGGCUAAAAGUUGGAACGAGGAAGAAGGCUCGGAGAAAGGUGUCAGACAAAGCGGGAUUAGCAAGAAGCUGUUAGGGCUGGUCCUACCGGGAUGAGAGAAAGGCGCAGAGGCCAGCCGAGUGGAAAGAGCAGCGGUGACGAACCGGGUUCCACUCAGACGUCCGACACUUCUCGCCAAGGGGCCAGCGCGGACAGCAGCGCCUCCCGGGGACCUCUGAGAAGCCCUGUUUCUGCGCGGCUCCGCCCGACCUCCAAGGCCGACCUCGGAGGCUCAGAGACCCAGGCCCCGUUGGCACUCACCCCACUGCCACGCGGCGCCAGCGCCGGACUGGCCGCACGAUAAGCGCGUCCCAGGCUGCCGCCAACCGGCCCUCGGGGGAGACGGGUCCCGGGGGCGCAGGCGCGGGCCCCAGACACAGCGAGCUCCAGAGAGAGCGCAGCGCCGAGCCUGGCAGCUCUGGCUCCAGCAGGAAGACGCAGCCCACGGCCAGCGCCAGGAAGCCCGCGUACGCGGAGCCGCGCCACAGCGCCAUGGGGACCCAGGCGCCGCACCUGCGCGAACCAACUCCUUUCCUAGCCCGCGCCUCUUCCGGGCUCGGCGCGCGCCGAUGUCGACACAAGCGCUACGUCACAAGGGUGCGCCACGGGGCCCCCCAAGGGGCGGGGCGACGGGCGGCGCCAGGACGGAGCGAGGGGGGACCCCACGCCUCAGUCCCAGGCCUGGCACUGCGGUGUUGCCGCCCCGGAGGAGGUGGGACAACGGCGGUUGUGCCAGUCCGGGCGCUGCACCCCCUUCCCGGAACUCUAAUCGUAUCCCCAAAUAGAGGGAUGGGAACACAUUUGCUUUCGCAGUAAAACGAAACGGACAGAUUGUGAAGAAGCGGACAAACCUCGCGUUAAUAUUCGAACCAGUGGGUGUCCCCAUUGGCACGGAUCACACCCCCAUCUUUUAAUCCCUCCCUCCGCCCGUGUCCCCUCAUUUGCUAGACUUGUCCUCUUCCAGGCCUAGUGCUCGGCGCUUCUGAGAGGAAUAGGCUCACAGAAUAGCGGCGCUGCCGAGACCCCUGGGGUACGCGAGGCAGGGGGAUUCCGCCCCUUUGGAAGGUGGCCGAGACCCUCAGCCACUAAAGGACUUCGUCGAGACAGGAGAGCCCGCAGAGAUCGUUCUCUUCUGGAUAACCAGAUUAUUCCACAAUCAAACUUUAACCCUUUUGGGGGCGCUGUUCCCUUUAACAAACUCUGGAAAAUGUACACAAUCUUGUGCACAACACGAGAGUUAUGGACCUGGGUUGAGAAACGCUGCUUUCUUUUGUUCCCCCUUGGUGACAUCACUUAAACCCAGCCCUCUCUUCGCUGAUACUUUUCUGUGCAUGAGGCUAGGUUGAGAGACAGUGAAGCUAGGCUGGGUACCAGCUCAUUCUCAUCAGCCACAAUGCCCGGCCUAGUCUUGUUCCCUGGUUUGUUUCCACUUUUCCAAUUCUCUCGGCUCCUGACCUUGGCUUUGUGUCCAGUUUUCCACUGUGACCCUGACCUUUGGACUUGGCAGCGAAACUUUAUUUCCCUAACUUUGAUCUUGGGCAUUAGUCUUCAUUCUCCUCAGCCCCACCUCAUCAGAACUUCCCCAUCCUGGUCAUCUACCUUCCCGCAGUUCAUCCUACCCAGCCUACCUGACCAUGCCAUCCCUUUCGACAAAGAUAUUCACACAGGAACAGAUUUGGGCUACCUUGGAAAAGAAGCCAAAGAGCCAGUCAGAUCUUUAUGAAGCCAUGAAAGCCAUCUUCCCUAGAGUUGCCUGUCACUUCUCUCUCCUUAGGGAGACAUGUCAGUCAGUUCCUAGAGAAACUGCUUCUUCUCACAACCCUCAGCUGUCAGGUUUCCCUGGCACCCAGAGGGGACUGAGCCAGCAGCUGACCUGAAAACAGCGAGUCUGCUGACUGUCCAGCGAUCAUUUCCCUCUAUUGAGAAUUUUAACCAAGUUUCUGUUGUCUGUAGUUAUUUGAUAUUGGCUGUGGACCCACAAAGUCACACAAGGCUAAAGGGUGGACAGCACGGAAGAGGCAGUACAUCUUAACAAAAUCAGGGUUCUGGAUGAAGGGAGGGGUGGUGAAUGGUUGCUGCAAUCAACAGUUCAUACUUCAAUGGAAAGAAGGUGGGAUUUGAUUCCUGGCUGCAAAUCUUCACUCUGUCACCUGCUAUCUGUGUGCCCUCAGGGUCUCACUUUGUCUCCCAGGCUGGAGUGCAGUGGCGCAAUCACCACUCACUGCAGCCUCACCUACCGGGCUCAAGUGAUCAUCCCACCUCAGCCUCUCCAGUAGCUGCGACCACAGGCACGUGCCACUAAAUGAUUAUUUUUUCAAGGGAGAAAUCAUGCCUGUCAUACAAAUAAAAAAUGAACAAGUGUAAAAG